rnacentral:rRNA from 1 species
AUGGUUAAGUUAGAAAGGGCGCACGGUGAAUGCCUUGGCACUAGGAGCCGAUGAAGGACGGGACUAACACCGAUAUGCUUCGGGGAGCUGUAAGUGAGCUUUGAUCCGGAGAUUUCCGAAUGGGGAAACCCACUGUUCGUAAUGGAGCAGUAUCUUUAUCUGAAUACAUAGGAUAUUGAAGGCAGACCCGGGGAACUGAAACAUCUAAGUACCCGGAGGAAGAGAAAGCAAAUGCGAUUUCCUGAGUAGCGGCGAGCGAAACGGAAUUAGCCCAAACCAAGAGGCUUGCCUCUUGGGGUUGUAGGACACUCUAUACGGAGUUACAAAGGAACGAAGUAAAUGAAGCGACCUGGAAAGGUCCGUCGAAGAAGGUAACAACCCUGUAGUUGAAACUUCGUUCCCUCUUGAGUGGAUCCUGAGUACGGCGGAACACGUGAAAUUCCGUCGGAAGCUGGGAGGACCAUCUCCCAAGGCUAAAUACUACCUAGUGACCGAUAGUGAACCAGUACCGUGAGGGAAAGGUGAAAAGCACCCCGGAAGGGGAGUGAAAGAGAUCCUGAAACCGUGUGCCUACAAGUAGUCAGAGCCCGUUAACGGGUGAUGGCGUGCCUUUUGUAGAAUGAACCGGCGAGUUACGAUCCCAUGCAAGGUUAAGCUGAUAAGGCGGAGCCGUAGCGAAAGCGAGUCUGAAUAGGGCGUUUAGUAUGUGGUUGUAGACCCGAAACCAGGUGAUCUACCCAUGUCCAGGGUGAAGUUCAGGUAACACUGAAUGGAGGCCCGAACCCACGCACGUUGAAAAGUGCGGGGAUGAGGUGUGGGUAGCGGAGAAAUUCCAAUCGAACCUGGAGAUAGCUGGUUCUCUCCGAAAUAGCUUUAGGGCUAGCCUCAUGUUGUGAGAGUCUUGGAGGUAGAGCACUGAUUGGACUAGGGGCCCCCAACGGGUUACCGAAUUCAGUCAAACUCCGAAUGCCAAAGACUUAUCCAUGGGAGUCAGACUGCGAGUGAUAAGAUCCGUAGUCAAAAGGGAAACAGCCCAGACCACCAGCUAAGGUCCCCAAGUAUACGUUAAGUGGAAAAGGAUGUGGAGUUGCUUAGACAACCAGGAUGUUGGCUUAGAAGCAGCCACCAUUUAAAGAGUGCGUAAUAGCUCACUGGUCGAGUGACUCUGCGCCGAAAAUGUACCGGGGCUAAACGUAUCACCGAAGCUGUGGAUUGACAUCUUUGAUGUCAGUGGUAGGAGAGCGUUCUAAGUGCAGCGAAGUCAGACCGUAAGGACUGGUGGAGCGCUUAGAAGUGAGAAUGCCGGUAUGAGUAGCGAAAGACAAGUGAGAAUCUUGUCCACCGAAUGCCUAAGGUUUCCUGAGGAAGGCUCGUCCGCUCAGGGUUAGUCGGGACCUAAGCCGAGGCUGAAAAGCGUAGGCGAUGGCCAACAGGUUGAUAUUCCUGUACCACCUCCCCGCCGUUUGAGUAAUGGGGGGACGCAGUAGGAUAGGGUAAGCGCGCUGCUGGAUAUGCGCGUUCAAGCAGUUAGGCUGAUGAGUAGGCAAAUCCGCUCAUCAUAAAGGCUGAGCUGUGAUGACGAGGGAAUUAUAGUACCGAAGUUCCUGAUUCCACACUGCCAAGAAAAGCCUCUAGCGAGGCGGGAGGUGCCCGUACCGCAAACCGACACAGGUAGGCGAGGAGAGAAUCCUAAGGUGAUCGAGAGAACUCUCGUUAAGGAACUCGGCAAAAUGACCCCGUAACUUCGGGAGAAGGGGUGCUCUGGUAGGGUGUAUAGCCCGAGAGAGCCGCAGUGAAUAGGCCCAGGCGACUGUUUAGCAAAAACACAGGUCUCUGCGAAGCCGCAAGGCGAAGUAUAGGGGCUGACGCCUGCCCGGUGCUGGAAGGUUAAGAGGAGGGGUUAUCCUUUGGGAGAAGCUCUGAAUCGAAGCCCCAGUAAACGGCGGCCGUAACUAUAACGGUCCUAAGGUAGCGAAAUUCCUUGUCGGGUAAGUUCCGACCCGCACGAAAGGCGUAACGAUCUGGGCACUGUCUCAACGAGAGACUCGGUGAAAUUAUAGUACCUGUGAAGAUGCAGGUUACCCGCGACAGGACGGAAAGACCCCGUGGAGCUUUACUGUAGCCUGAUAUUGAAUUUUGGUACAGCUUGUACAGGAUAGGUAGGAGCCUGAGAAGCCGGAGCGCUAGCUUCGGUGGAGGCGUCGGUGGGAUACUACCCUGGCUGUAUUGAAAUUCUAACCCGCGGCCCUGAUCGGGCCGGGAGACAGUGUCAGGUGGGCAGUUUGACUGGGGCGGUCGCCUCCUAAAAUGUAACGGAGGCGCCCAAAGGUUCCCUCAGAAUGGUUGGAAAUCAUUCGUAGAGUGUAAAGGCACAAGGGAGCUUGACUGCGAGACCUACAAGUCGAGCAGGGACGAAAGUCGGGCUUAGUGAUCCGGUGGUUCCGCAUGGAAGGGCCAUCGCUCAACGGAUAAAAGCUACCCCGGGGAUAACAGGCUUAUCUCCCCCAAGAGUCCACAUCGACGGGGAGGUUUGGCACCUCGAUGUCGGCUCAUCGCAUCCUGGGGCUGUAGUCGGUCCCAAGGGUUGGGCUGUUCGCCCAUUAAAGCGGUACGCGAGCUGGGUUCAGAACGUCGUGAGACAGUUCGGUCCCUAUCCGUCGUGGGCGUAGGAAAUUUGAGAGGAGCUGUCCUUAGUACGAGAGGACCGGGAUGGACACACCGCUGGUGUACCAGUUGUCUUGCCAAAGGCAUCGCUGGGUAGCUAUGUGUGGACGGGAUAAGUGCUGAAAGCAUCUAAGCAUGAAGCCCCCCUCAAGAUGAGAUUUCCCAUAGCGCAAGCUAGUAAGAUCCCUGAAAGAUGAUCAGGUUGAUAGGUCAGAGGUGGAAGCGUGGCGACAUGUGUAGCUGACUGAUACUAAUCGAUCGAGGACUUAACCAAA